GGCAACGUAGCCAAGCGGUCUAAGGCGCCAGGUUGGGGUUCACCUGAAUUCAAUCAUCCUGGUCUCAGUAAUGGGGCGUGGGUUCGAAUCGCAUCAUUCCA
rnacentral:tRNA from 1 species